UUGGAGAAUCUCAAUUGUACCAUGAUGUUAGGUGAGCGUGAUACAGGCCUACAUUUAAAAGCAAUUCGAAAGAAAAAGAAAAUAACAAAAGUGAAGAAGUCAUGAUAAAAUACUAAAGAAAGUAAUAAUUAUACACUAAUUACUUCUAUACAUUAAAUUCGACAUACCUACUAGCCUUAAUUCUAUCUCUAAAAACUCACUAAGUAAUGAUUAUACACUAAUUAAUUAAGAUUAAGCAGAAAAAUAUGUGAAAACUACAUUAUUAUCCCCAAAAGAAGCAGAAUUUGUUUUGCAAAUAUAGCCACUUUGAGAGGAUUGUGAUGAUUUCCCUCCACCUAUUUUUCCUUCUUUUUUAUCCGAACGAAGCACCUUGUUAUUUUUUCCUGUAGUAGCAGCAGAAGCAAUUUUUUUCUCGAGUCUUCGUUGAAUAACAUAUUCUUCGGGAAUAUACACAUCCAUGAUAUCUUUUUGAAAGUGAGAAGCAAAAAUGUUCACUCAAAAAAUGAAUGUAAU
rnacentral:lncRNA from 1 species